AACGAACGCUGGCGGCAGGCUUAACACAUGCAAGUCGAACGCCCCGCAAGGGGAGUGGCAGACGGGUGAGUAACGCGUGGGAAUCUACCCAGAUCUUCGGAACAACUGAGGGAAACUUCAGCUAAUACCGGAUACGCCCUACGGGGAAAGAUUUAUCGGUUCUGGAUGAGCCCGCGUUGGAUUAGCUAGUUGGUGGGGUAAUGGCCUACCAAGGCGACGAUCCAUAGCUGGUCUGAGAGGAUGAUCAGCCACACUGGGACUGAGACACGGCCCAGACUCCUACGGGAGGCAGCAGUGGGGAAUAUUGGACAAUGGGCGAAAGCCUGAUCCAGCCAUGCCGCGUGAGUGAUGAAGGCCUUAGGGUUGUAAAGCUCUUUCAGUGGGGAAGAUAAUGACGGUACCCACAGAAGAAGCCCCGGCUAACUUCGUGCCAGCCGCCGCGGUAAGAC
rnacentral:rRNA from 1 species